CCUACGGGGGGCAGCAGUGAGGAAUAUUGGUCAAUGGGCGCAAGCCUGAACCAGCCAAGUCGCGUGAGGGAUGACGGUCCUAUGGAUUGUAAACCUCUUUUGUCGGGGAGCAAGGCCCGCCACGUGUGGCGGGAAGGAGAGUACCCGAAGAAAAAGCCCCGGCUAACUACGUGCCAGCAGCCGCGGUAAUACGUAGGGGGCGAGCGUUAUCCGGAUUUACUGGGUGUAAAGGGAGCGUAGACGGCUGGUCAAGUCUGAAGUGAAAGCCCGGGGCUUAACCCCGGAACGGCUUUGGAAACUGAGCAGCUAGAGUGCUGGAGAGGUAAGCGGAAUUCCUAGUGUAGCGGUGAAAUGCGUAGAGAUUAGGAGGAACACCAGUGGCGAAGGUGGCUUACUGGACAGUAACUGACGUUGAGGCUCGAAAGCGUGGGGAGCAAACAGGAUUAGAUACCCCUGUAGUC
rnacentral:rRNA from 1 species